rnacentral:lncRNA from 1 species
UGGCCACCAAUGGCAAUGGCAUUGGCCAUUGUUUUGAUUUCAACUAGUGUGGUUUCUGCUGCUGCAGAUAGUUAUAUUUACUCUUCUCCUCCACCACCUUACGAGUAUAAGUCGCCACCGCCACCAUCACCUUCACCACCACCUCCUUAUGUUUACAAAUCGCCACCUCCUCCAUCCCCAUCACCUCCACCACCUUAUGAGCACAAGGCUCCUGCUUAUGAGUACAAGUCACCACCACCACCAACUCCUUCACCACCACCUCCUUAUGUGUACAAGUCACCACCACCGCCAUCUCCUUCACCACCACCUCCUUAUGUGUACAAGUCACCACCACCACCCUCACCUUCCCCACCACCACCAUACUACUACAAGAGUCCUCCACCACCUUCUCCUUCACCUCCACCUCCUUACUACUACAAAUCUCCUCCACCACCCUCACCUUCCCCACCACCACCAUACUAUUACAAGUCUCCUCCACCACCAUCUCCCUCACCUCCACCACCAUAUUACUACAAGUCUCCCCCACCACCCUCACCCUCCCCUCCACCCCCAUAUAUACACAAGGAUCCACCAUACUAUUACAAGUCCCCACCACCACCUUCACCAUCUCCUCCACCACCAUACUACUACAAAUCUCCCCCACCCCCUUCACCGUCUCCUCCACCACCAUACUACUACAAAUCUCCUCCUCCUCCAUCUCCUAUUCCCAAAACACCUUACUACUACAAAUCUCCCCCACCCCCUUCACCAUCUCCUCCACCACCAUACUACUACAAAUCUCCCCCACCCCCUUCACCGUCUCCUCCACCACCAUACUACUAUAAAUCUCCCCCACCACCGUCACCCUCUCCACCACCACCUUACUAUUACAAGUCUCCUCCCCCACCUUCACCAUCUCCUCCACCACCAUACUACUACAAAUCUCCUCCUCCUCCAUCUCCUAUUCCCCAUACACCUUACUAUUACAAAUCUCCCCCACCACCUUCACCAUCUCCUCCACCACCAUACUACUACAAAUCUCCUCCUCCUCCAUCUCCUAUUCCCCGUACACCUUACUAUUACAAAUCUCCCCCACCACCUUCACCAUCUCCUCCACCACCAUACUACUACAAAUCCCCUCCUCAUCCAUCUCCCAUUCCCCAUACACCUUACUAUUACACAUCUCCCCCACCACCUUCACCGUCUCCUCCACCACCAUAUUACUACAAAUCUCCUCCCCCUCCGUCUCCUAUUCCCCACACACCUUACUACUACAAGUCCCCACCACCACCAAAGGUCCUUCCACCACCAUACUAUUACAAUUCUCCUCCUCCACCUGUUGUGUAUCCUCACCCAUAUCCCUACCACCACUCACUUAUUGUGAGGGUAGUCGGUAAAGUCUACAGCUUCAGAUGUUAUGAUUGGAAUUAUCCUGCAAAGUCUCAUAACAAGAAACAUCUCAAAGGUACAUUACAUUUCUUAGGACCGGACCUCUUUAGAGUAAUGUGUUUAGAGAUAAUGCACAAUUUUUUAUUUUUUUAUCUCGUAAAGGUUUAUUUAUUAUAAUCACAAUUUCACUUUUGUCAAAAAGAAAAACAAUUUUACUAUAUAUAGUUUUAAUCAUUAACAUUUUGAUGUAAAAAGAAUACAAUUCUCUAUUACCUUUUUACUAUGAUAUAUAUACAAAGAUUAUUCAAAUCUAUAUAUCCAACCUAAUUUCCAUCCAAAAAAAUAGAAAACAUAGGGUGCUUUGAACGCCUGCAGCAUCACAUGAAUAAAUAAAAACAAUCAAUAAUCAACCUUGUUCUAAUUUAUUUUAGACAGCGAUUGUUAAGCAUACUGCUCUUUUAAUUACAUUUUUUUUAAAGAUGCUCUUUUAAUUAUAUUGUCCUAAUAUAAUAUGUGUCUUUAUAUAUUACUUGUCGUAAACUAAUUUUAUUAUGGGUGCAGGAGCUGUUGUUGAGGUGACAUGCAAAGCCGGGAGCAAAAUUGUCAAGGCUUAUGGAAAAACUAAGAACAAUGGAAAGUAUGCCAUCACAGUUAAGGACUUUGACUAUGUCAAAUAUGGUUCGACAGUGUGCAAGGCUGCCCUAUAUGCUCCACCUAAGGGUUCACCCUUCAACAUACCUACAAAGCUAAAUCAAGGAACAAAGUUGUACUUGAAAUCCAAAGACAAGUACGAGGUUGUGCUCAAGGCUAAGCCAUUUGCUUAUGCUUCAAAGAAACAUUUCAAAGAAUGUGAGAAGCCUAAGCCUUCACCAACUCCUUACUACUACAAAUCACCUCCACCUCCCUCACCAGUUUACAAAUACAACUCACCACCUCCACCGGUCCAUUAUUAUUCACCUCCAUACACCUACAAGUCACCUCCUCCCCCUGUGAAAGCGGCACCAACUCCUUACUACUACAAAUCACCUCCACCACCCGCACCGGUUUACAAGUACAACUCACCCCCUCCACCGGUCCAUUAUUAUUCACCACCAUAUACCUAUAAGUCACCUCCUCCCCCUGUGAAAGCGGCACCAACUCCUUACUACUACAAAUCACCUCCACCUCCCGCACCGGUUUACAAGUACAACUCCCCACCUCCACCGGUCCAUUAUUAUUCACCUCCAUAUACCUACAAGUCACCUCCUCCCCCUGUGAAAGUGGCACCAACUCCUUACUACUACAAAUCACCUCCACCACCCGCACCGGUUUACAAGUACAACUCACCACCUCCACCGGUCCAUUAUUAUUCUCCACCAUACUACUACAAGUCACCACCCCCACCAUCUCCAUCACCUCCUCCACCAUACUAUUUCAAAUACUAUUACAAGUCCCCACCUCCACCAUCACCAUCCCCUCCUCCACCUUAUUAUUACAAAUCUCCUCCUCCACCAAAACAAAUUUCACACCCUCCAUACUACUAUAAGUCACCACCCCCACCAUCACCAUCACCUCCUCCACCAUACUAUUAUAAGUCUCCACCUCCACCAUCACCAUCUCCCCCACCACCUUAUUAUUAUAAGUCACCACCCCCACCAUCCCCGUCCCCUCCUCCACCAUACUACUACAAGUCUCCACCUCCACCUAAAGAAAUAUCACAUCCUCCAUAUAACUAUAAGUCACCACCCCCACCAUCACCAUCCCCUCCCCCUCCAUACUAUUACAAAUCUCCUCCACCACCAUCACCAUCACCACCACCUCCCUACUAUUACAAAUCACCUCCACCACCAUCACCAUCACCUCCCCCUCCAUACUAUUACAAAUCUCCUCCACCACCAUCACCAUCACCACCACCUCCUUACUAUUACAAAUCACCUCCACCACCAUCCCCAUCACCACCACCUCCAUACUACUACAAAAGUCCCCCUCCACCAUCUCCAUCUCCUCCAUCCCCAUAUUACUACAAAUCUCCACCACCACCAUCACCAUCCCCACCCCCUCCCUACUAUUACAAAUCACCUCCACCUCCCUCACCAUCACCGCCACCUCCUUACUAUUACAAAUCACCUCCACCUCCCUCACCAUCACCGCCACCUCCUUACUAUUACAAAUCUCCCCCACCUCCAUCUCCAUCUCCACCACCUCCUUACCACUAUCAAAGUCCUCCUCCACCAUCUCCCAUUUCUCAUCCUCCCUACUACUACAAAUCCCCUCCACCACCAUCGCCGUCUCCUCCACCUCCUUACCACUAUGUGAGUCCUCCCCCACCAGUAAAGUCACCUCCACCACCAACUUAUAUCUAUGCUUCACCACCACCACCUCACUACAACUAAGCUCAAAGAGCAGAAGCUCCGUUCAUUAUAAAUCAUGUAAGUUUAUCAUCUUCAAUUUUCUGAAUGUGUGCGUGUGUAUUUGUUUUUUUGUUACAAGAUACUAACAAAAUUCUUUUCUUAUUUAUGUUCAGGUUUUAGUUUUCAUCUAGGAAUAAAGGCAAGCUCC